UCUGGCCGGCGCGCCCACGCCCACACUCGGCGGCUUCACGGGAAGCAUUCGGCUUCUCUCAGCCGCCCCUUCCUCGCAGGUGAGGCAGGUGAAGGGCAGAUUUGCCCACGAGAAAGCUGGGUGCCCAGAGAUGAGGGCCUACAAAUGCAGCCUCUGAUCUCCAAAUGCCAGCCAGGAAGUCCAGCAUCGUUCGCGAGCUGACGCUCCGGACACACCGGUGCUCGGCUGUCAAGCGCUGGGCGCAUCUGGAGGGCGUCAGGAGGUGAAACCCAGUAGAGGCUGUGACCUAGGCUCCCUGCUUCUCCUUCUGCCUCCUGACUGACUCUGGGGCUUCCCCGUGUGACCCUGUGUGACAAGGCACUCCCCUGCCUCUUGGGAAACGCAAUGUCGGGCAGAGUUGAAUAGAACACCGCAGAUACUCUGCAAAGCCAUUGAUUCACCGGCAGACGUUCGAGAAUUUAUGUGGCAACAGUAUCUGAAGACUUGAGGGCAACAUCAAUUUAUUUCUGCACACUCUCUGGCCCAGCGAUUUCAUUUGACGGAAUCUAUCCUAACAAAACAUUACGGUACGUGCGCAAAAAUGUAUGUUGCAAGGAUGUUCAUAAGGUCAUUUUAAUGGCAAAAGAAUUGGAAACUAAAAAUCCAUUUUAUAGGAACGAGACUGCAUAAAUUACAGUACAUUUACAUAACAGGGUCCUCUGAAGCUGAUGAAAGAGAGAGCUCUAUUUAUAUAUGCGUCUCACAGAGAUCUCUAAGACAUCGCGUUCAAAGAGAAAAGCAAGAUGGACUGUGCAGUGAGUGAUGACAUGUCAGUGUAGGUGCAGCGGUUGUAACAGAUGCAGGCAAUGCCGGUGCUGGGGAGGCUGGGAGUGUGUGGGGGCAGGGUGUCUGGGAAAUCUCUGUACCCUCCGCUAAAUUUUGCUGGGAACCUAAAUCUGCUAUAAUAAAUGGUCUGUUUAAAAAAGAAAAAGAAAAAAAGCACAUUACAAAGCAUUACAUACACUGCAAUCCCAUUUAGGUAAAAUAGGAAGCAA